AACUUUCUAUUUAUUUGCUGAGUUACUCUGUAUAAUUUAAGAUCUUUUAACUUUCUUCAUCUUUGUUUUAUAACCCAGGGUUUAGUCUAUCUUGGUAUAUGUUCUGUGGAUGCUUGAGAAAAAUGUGGUUUUGUUUUUGUUCUUGUUGCGUGCAGCGUUAUGUGUGUAAUGCUUUCAUGACAUAUCAUUUUUCACCCUUUUGCUUUCAACCAGCCCAUAUAAUUACAUUUGAAGUGAAUUUCUUGUAGAUAGUGUGUAGUUGGUUGGUGUUUUUUAAUCCACUCUGCCAAUCUCUAUCUUUCAAUUGUUAGUUUUAGACCAUUUACAUUAAAUGUAAUUUCCUGAUAUUUUAGGGCUUCAGUUUGCCAUUUUAUUUUUGUUUUUUCUUUGUGUUUUUCAUUGCUGUUUUCAUUUUAUUGCCUUCCUAUUGGUUAUUUGAGCCUUUCUUUAACAUCACUUUAAUUCAUUUAUAUGCUCUAGCUAUAUGUGCAUCUAUUUGUAUAGUUUUUUAGUGGUUGUUCUCGGUUUACAUUAUAUAUAUAGUUUAUCACAAUCUACUACUGUUAUGGUUUUACCAGUAAAAGUGAAGUAUAGGGACCUUACCUGUCCAUAUGUCCCUUUACCCUCCCCUGUUUAUAAUUGUUUAAAAUAUUUCCUCUACAUACAUUUAGAACCACAUCAGACAGUGUUAAAAGUUUUGCUUCAACUCUUAAAAAUAAUGUAGAAAACUCAAGAGGAGAAAGGAAGGCAGUUUGUGUAUUCAUUUUUGCUUACUAUGUUCUUUCUUCUUUCCUGAUGUUGCAAGGCUCCAUCUUGUAUUGUUUAUUUUCUGUUCAGAAAACUUCCCUUAGCCAUUCCUUUAGGGUGGGUCUUUUGGACACAAAUUCUCUUAGUUUCAUUCAUCUGAAAAUGUCUUGAUUUUUCCUUCAUUCCUAAAGGGUAUUUUCACUGGACAUAGGAUUCUGACUCAUAGCACCUCAUAGAUUCACUAUGAGUCAGAAUCAAUUCGACAGCAACUGGUGUAGGAUUCUGGAGUUGACAGUUCUUUUCUUUCAGCAUUUGAAAAAUAUCUUGCCAUAACCUUCAGUCCUCUGUGGUUUCUGAAGAGGAUUCUGCUCUUAUUUCAAUGGUUUUUCACUAUAGGAAUCUGUCAGCCCUAUUUCUCAUCAUGGCAUCAGGGCCAGCAAACAAUUUUCAAACCUUACAGUUUGCUGGGAGUGAAGAGCUCCUGAAUGUGGAGUGUGGAGGAGCUGUGACGAGCUAGCUGGUAUCAGGAAAGGAUCAGGUCUGUUGCAACAGAUUUCCCUGAAGCAAUAUGUGGUUUGAUUUCUUCACUGGUGCUUCUAUGGACAUUGAUUGUGGAUUCAAGUAAAAUGAAAUCCUCGACAACUUCGGUAUUUUCCCUGCCUUGCUAACCCACACUAAAGAGACUCUCUCCAUUGUUGGAUCUAAAGAAGUAAGCUGCCAUGUUGUGAGAGGAUGUCUUGAGAGGGCCAUGUGGCACCGUAUUACUGGUGGUUUCUAGGAGCUGAGAGCGGUCCUCAGCCAAACGUCCUACAACGGUAAGGAGAUGAAUUCUUCCAACAAACUGAGGGAACUUGGAUCUUUCUGCAGUUGAGCCUCUGAUAGGCCCGUAGCCCUGGCCAACACCUGGUUGCAGCCUGGUGAGAUCUCAAUCAGAGAACCCAGUUAAGUUGUGCCCAGAUUUCUGACCCUCAAAAACUGUGAGAGAAUAAAUCUGUGCUGUUUUUAGUUGCUAAGUUUGUAAUCAUAUCUCACACAGCAGUAGAACAAUAAUGUUGUUUGUUGUGUGCCAUACAACUAAUGUGACAGACUUGUCACCUGGGGCUGUAAUUUUUACAGGAGCAGAUCACCAGGUCUUUCUCCUGCCGAGUGGCUGGGUGGGUUUGAACCACCAACCUUUUUGGUUAGCUGCCUCGUGCCUAACCACUGUGCCACCAGGGAUCCUUCAAAACAUGGUAGGUCCUUCAGAGCAGGAACCAACACUGCUUUUAUCUGCAGCACCAGGCAGGGUCUGGCAUACAAAAAGUGCUCAAAAAAUAUUGUUGUCUGACUAAGUAAGUAACUGAACAACUGAGUGAGUGAAUGCAAGGCCUGCUUUUUGGUAGUGGAGCAGUCAACCACUGUUGACUACCCUGAGACAUCUCAGACCUUCUGUCGUCCUUGUGUUUGAUGCUAACGUGGUUAUGUGCUUUGAUCUAUCCUUCUCAUUUCUAUGCCCAGUCUAGGCUUCCUUCCAUAUUCCAGAAGGCCUUGUGUCUUUACAAUGUGUCUGACUCAUGCCGGUUUGCUGAUCCAGGUGUUCUGAACUGUGCAGCAAUCUUGCGAGGUCUCCUUUCACACUAUGUCCUGGAUGGAGCCCAGCUUGGAGCACUUUCCUGGGCAACACAAUGUGAGUGACAGCCCAUUUCAAAGAGCUUCUCCUGUCAAUUGCUUUACACCAUUUCCUGAACCUCGGAACAAUUUUCUGGCUCUCUGAUGCCCUCUAAUAUCUCCUGGCUGUCCUGAAACUUCUGAAACACAGCAUUGUCCUCAAGCCAUUUUUUAAAUUUUUUUAAUGAAUUCAUUUUUUUCCACUUAAUGCAAAUUUCAGACCUCAGGUUUGACAGAAAUGGAGGCCUGUAUUAUUGACAAAUGCAAACACCUGUGUAACCCAAAUUCCUGUCAAGAUACAGAACAUCACCAUCUCCCAGAAUGUUCCCAGAUGCUGUAUCCCAGUCAUUCCCUGCCCUAUCCCACCCUCCCGAGAAAACCCUAGAUUCCUUUUGUCUGUUCUAGAACUUCUUAUCAAUGGAAUCAUACAGUACAUACUCUUUCGUGUUUGGUUUCUUUUACUCAGUAUGUUUUUGAGAUGCAUCUGUGCUAUUUCAUGGGUAAGCAAUUUGUUCCUUUUUACUGCUCAGUAGAGUUCCAUUGUGUGAACGUACCACAGUCCAUUUAUCUAUUCUCCUAUCCAUUGACCCCUUGAUGGUUUCCAGGUUUUGGCUACAUUUUCAAUAAAAUUGUGCAUUUCUUUAAUAAUUUUUAAUCAAAGUUUGUAAUAUAUUUUUGUUGUCUUAAUCAAUCAUAGACAAAGAAUAAUUAUAAUAUCAAUUCAAUCCAGCAGAAAAUCUUUAACACUUUCAAUUUUAUAGUCACAAGAAUGCAAAUUAAAUAUAUAUAUAUAUUGGAAACCCUGGUGGCAUAGCGGUUAAGAGCUAUGGCUGCUAACCAAGAGGCCAGCAGUUCAAACCCACCAGAUGCUCCUCGGAAACUCUAUGGGGCCGUUCUACUCUGUCUUAUAGGGUCGCUAUGAGUGUGAAUCGACUCAACAGCACUAGGUUAUAAUGAAAAAAAAUUACGUGUUAACAUAAACAUAUGGAAGGGAGAUCAUAGCCUCCCACAUUAUUUCAGGAAGGACAGAAGCACAAUAGUUGGAAGAUCAUGGAGUGUGUUGUUUACAGCCUUUAGUUGCAUUGUUCCAGUUACUAUUGCUGCUUGACAAAUUACCCCAUAACUUACAGCUUAAAACAACAACCAAUUCACUUGUGCUCACAGGCUCUGGGGGUCAGGAAUUUGGACAGGGCAGUGGGAAUACUUGUCUCUGCUUCACUAUAUCUGGGACCUCAAGUGGGAAGACUGAAAGGUGGGGGUGACUUGAAGGCUGGAGGCUGGAACCAUCUGAAUGGUCACAUGGUCACGUAGUCUAGUACCUGGACUGGAAGGAUUUGAAGACUGGGACUUCUGGCCACAGAGCCUGCCGUGCCGUCAGGAUUGCUGGACUUAUUGCGCAGCUUCUCAGGGCUCUGAGCGUGAGGGCACCCGUGAACGAGGAGUAUGCUGCACCCCCGUUUUUGUCCAUCCUCAGAAGCAAAGCCACGUCAUUUCUCCACCCCUUAUUGGCUGAAGCAGUCCCAAGCUUGCCAGAUACAAUGGGACAUGAGAGGACAGUGACAAUUUUAACCUCCAUAGUCACUGUAGAAAAAAAUGAGUGACUGUAUUUUUCCAGCACUUAUUAUACUGCUACUCAAUAGAUAGCUCAUAAUUAAACUAUAAGUGAAAAUAAAUCUUUUUGUACAUAAAAGAAUUUCGAAGCCUGUUCAAAAUACCGUGAAGAAAAA